rnacentral:rRNA from 1 species
AUGGUGAGUAGGGGCGGCAUCUACGGCAUCGCCCCCCGGGGCAUCGAACUUGGUGGUGUCAGCGUCCGUAGCGUGGGCUUGGUGAAGACGAGCUCCGGCGGCGCGUCGUCUUCAUCGAGCGGUGGUGAGUGGGGUUGGCCACCGUGGCGCCGACCUCUGGGGCACCGACCUCUGUGGCGUCGACGGUGGGCGGUGUCGUGGCGUGCUCCAGGUCGUCAUCUUGGUCGAACCGUCGUGACGAGGUGGACAGCAGGUGAUGAUGGCGACCUCCUCGUCGUUCUUGGUAACGUUGGCUUGGUGAAGGCCAUCCCUGGCAACAUUGACUUCAUCAUCCGGUCCGGCGGCUCCACCUUCGGCGGUGGUCCAAUCAUGCAAGGCAACGCUGUGCAUGCUAUAUGCCAAGAAAGAACUAAGAAAGAGAUUUGUUAG